rnacentral:tRNA from 1 species
GGGUCAUUAGCUCAGGCGGUAGAGCACCUGACUUUUAAUCAGGGUGACCGGGGUUCGAAUCCCCGAUGGUUCACCA